CUGCACACUGCAAUUGUUUUAUCACAAGCACCCACACAGGUCACUGAAACACAAAGAACAAGGUGUGUUCUUCUGACUUGGCGACAGUGACGUGAACUACGCCGUGUUUUUCAUCUCGCAGUCGCAGGAUAUGCACUGUGAGAAGAUCGACAUCUGAAACCGCAAUCGUUACACUUCACCAUUUUCCACAACACAGAGUAAUAAAUACCAAAAAAAGAAAAAAAGAAUGUCAAGAGCAUUUUGCCAAAUGGGACACAGACCAGUCCUUUUACAGCCAGG